CCUACGGGAGGCAGCAGUGGGGAAUAUUGCACAAUGGGCGAAAGCCUGAUGCAGCAACGCCGCGUGAGCGAUGAAGGCCUUCGGGUCGUAAAGCUCUGUCCUCAAGGAAGAUAAUGACGGUACUUGCGGAGGAAGCCCCGGCUAACUACGUGCCAGCAGCCGCGGUAAUACGUAGGGGGCUAGCGUUAUCCGGAAUUACUGGGCGGAAAGGGUGCGUAGGUGGUUUCUUAGGUCAGAGGGGGGAGGCUACGGCUAAACCGUAGUAAGCAUUUGAAACUGGGGGACCUGAGUGCAGGAGAGGAGAGUAGAAUUCCUAGUGUAGCGGUGAAAUGCGUAGAUAUUAGGAGGAACACCAGUUGCGAAGGCGGCUCUCUGGACUGUAACUGACACUGAGGCACGAAAGCGUGGGGAGCAAACAGGAUUAGAUACCCGAGUAGUC
rnacentral:rRNA from 1 species